UACGGGGGGUCCUAGCGUUGUUCGGAAUCACUGGGCGUAAAGCGUUUGUAGGUGGCUUUGUAAGUUGAAUGUGAAAGCCUGGGGCCUAACCCCAGAAGUGCAUUCAAUACUGCAAAGCUUGAGUAUGGGAGAGGAAAAUGGAAUUCCUGGUGUAGUGGUGAAAUACGUAGAUAUCAGGAGGAACAUCGGUGGCGUAAAGCGGUUUUCUGGCCUAAUACUGACACUGAAAAACGAAAAGCGUGGGGAUCAAACAGG
rnacentral:rRNA from 1 species